CUGCGCUUCUCUUCAGUUCUUCAUUGCUUAUUUGCUAAUUAGGGUUUGUUCUUCCCUCUCCGAAUCUCAAAUCUUUUUAUUUUUCAGAAGUUAAGGUGGGUGUUCAGCAUAUUCUUGUUUGAGAAUACGUAGGACUGAUAGCUUCUGGGGAAAAGAAGUUUCAAAUUUCAAUUGCCCUAUUCACAGUUUCACACUAGUCUUGUGAUUUUUUCACUUCUGUGGUUCUUGGUUUCUGCCACUUCUUGAGUUAUAGGUCCCAAUGGGGAUAGCCGAUGAUGCAAUUGCUACUUCAAGGAAAACCCAGUUGGAGAAAGGCCAAGAAAUAGAACAUGAAUCUUCUUCAUCUUCAGAAGAAGAGGUAACGUAGAGUGUUGUUUCAAACAUAACUGAAAUUUACGAAUUUGAGGUCAAAAAUCAGUUUGAAUCUUGAAUUCUUUGUAAUUAAGGAGAGUGAGAUAGAGCGUGAGGUUGCUGAUGUCACCUUUGAAGAGCUCCAAAAAGCCCGCUCGAACGGGUCGCAUUCUGUUUUAAGAAAACCUGAGCAGGUGAAGUAAGGCGAACAUGAUCUUGCCUGUCCCCGACCCCGCCUACUGCGGAAGCCUUGUGCAUGUUUACCUUUUUUACUUUACGUAACACUGGAUUAGUUAUACUUUAUAUAUCAGAACAUGUACAAUUUUUCGAAUCGAGAUUGAUGCUUUUGCUCAGGUUGUGCGUGAUCCUCGUUUUGAAUCACUGUGCAGUGCUCUUGAUGAAGAGGGGAACUUGAGAAGCAACUGAAGAAGUUGGGAAAAAGGAAAAUAAACUAAACAAAACGCCUGACCCAGAGCUCAAGGAUGAUUUGAAGAACCGCAUAUCUUCGAUUGUUCGUAGGACCAACCUGUUCUUUUGAAUAUGGUUAUUGUCAUCUGUCUGUUGCAUUGCUGGCAUAUCUCUUUAACCUUUCUUAAGCGCUGCCUGCAUAGGUGCAUCUUAUCAUGAUCUUGUAAUUUCUGUUGUUCCUGUUGGUGCUCUAAUAAAGUUUUCACCACUUAGAAAAGAAAAAAAAAACUCUGAAAAUGAUCUUCUUUAUAUCUUGCCAGGACAAACAGCUGAAAUUUGAGCCUACCAAAACUAGGGAUGCAGCAAUACUGGCUAAGCAUAAGGAGGAAGGAGAAGCGGCAAAGAAAGCGAAACGACCCUUUUAUCUUAAGAAAUGCAAUGUGACUAAUCUCCCUCUCCCUCUCUCUCUCUCUCUCUCUCUGCAAAUUAUUGUAACUACUACUAUUACUUAUGCUACUCAUGAAAAUUUCCCACAGAGAAUGCACAUAGCUAAUACUUCCUUUAGUUUUCAGUUGUUAAGAGCUGUGUUUAUGCAUCAAAAACAGUUGACAUGUUUUUUUUUAUGCUUUUAACUGCUGAGAAUUUUGAUACCUGGAGUUGAUGAUUUUUACAUAACAAUGCUUGAACGAUAAUUUGCAUUGGCUGUUCUUCUCAUUAUUGGGGAAUUUUUCUAGCCCAUUGGAUUGGUCCCUAGUCCUAUUUUACAGAUUCCUUAUCCCA